rnacentral:rRNA from 1 species
AACGCGAAGAACCUUACCUGGGCUCGAAAUGUACAGGAAUACGGUAGAAAUAUCGUCGCCUAGCAAUAGGUCUGUAUAUAGGUGCUGCAUGGCUGUCGUCAGCUCGUGUCGUGAGAUGUUGGGUUAAGUCCCGCAACGAGCGCAACCCUUAUCUCCAGUUGCUACCAUUUAGUUGAGCACUCUGGCGAAACCGCCUCGGAUAACGGGGAGGAAGGUGGGGAUGACGUCAAGUCCUCAUGGCCUUUAUGUCCAGGGCUACACACGUGCUACAAUGGCCGGUACAAACCGCUGCAACCCCGCGAGGGUGAGCUAAUCGGAAAAAGCCGGCCUCAGUUCGGAUUGGAGUCUGCAACUCGACUCCAUGAAGCUGGAAUCGCUAGUAAUCGUGGAUCAGCAUGCCACGGUGAAUACGUUCCCGGGCCUUGUACACACCGAGACGAC